rnacentral:lncRNA from 1 species
CUUCUCAGGUCCUGCCAAUGUUCCUGUGUGCUAUUGCUGAGUAACAUUUGCAUUGUUCUAAAAGACAAUUACAACACUCCUAAGAAUUGGGCCAUAUAUAUUUACUUUCUUUCAGGAGAAUUCUCACUGGGUGUUCCCAAAUCCUUAUCUUCACCUGCGAAGGCAAAAGUUGGAAUAUCACGAGAAUGGAGUGGAACAUCUGAGUUAAAUACAUCUGAUGACUCUAGUGUAAAACUCCGGAGUCCCAAAUCAGGUAAAAAAAUUUCCUUUGGCUUUAGAUGACAUUUAGCCCUAAGAAUUUAUAGUAUAAGGAUGACUCCUUAAAUUUAGAGUAGUUCACCUCCGGAAAUGGCAUGGUUCCCAUAAUAGCUCCCACUAUUUAUUAGUUUAUUUCUGAUUUUUCCAGGCUAGGAAUUUUGUUUUGUCAAGGGCAAGGUAAACACAGGAUUUUAAAACUCUGCUCCUUGAUAUAUAGUCCUUUUAAAAAAAAAAAACCCAAAACUAUUUUAGGUAGAAUCUCUUAAAACUUUGAAGCUUUUUUAUUUUAUUAGUUUUUACCGUUGUUAGCAAUGUGACUCUUUAGGUAUUUAACUUGCUGUUGCUUCUCCAGGAUUUUUGAGUUUUGCUCGUUUUUUUAAAAAAAAGAUUUUAUUUAUUUAUUUGAGAGAGAUAGUGAGUGAGACAGAGUGAAGAAGCAGGGGUAAGGGCAGAGGGAGAAGCUGACUCCCCACUGAGCAGGGAGCCCCACUUGGGGUUCUAUCCCAGGACUCUGAGAUCAUGAUCUGAGCUAAAGGCAGGUGCCUAACUGACUGAGCCACCCAGGCGCCCUAAGCUUUACUUAUUUUAUACAUGGAAUAACAACAUCCACAGCUAACAUAACUGGGCACACAAAGGUACUAUACGUUAUAAUACAUGUAGUUGCCCUUAACAAAUUAUUCAUGUGAACGUGUUAUUCAAAUAUACAUAGGUAGUUUAACAUAGAGAUUAAUGAACAUGGGCUUUGGAGUCUGAUAGGCUUUUAUUUAAAUCUUUAGCUUACCAGUAGUUAUCAAAAUGUAUGACUUUGGUGAAAUUAUAUACUUUGUUGAUUUUCCUCAUUUAUAAUACCAGGAUAACAGAAUUCAUUUCUUAGAGAAUUUUUUAAGGGUUGAGUCAGACAAUGCAUAUAAAGCUUUUGACACAGUGGUUGUCAAAUAAUAAGCUCUCAUUAAAUGCUAUUACCAUUUUUAUUAGAUAAUUAUUAAAUGAGCAAUUCCUAAGCAAGUUCUAUAUGUUUUAUGCAGUGUUAGCAUAGGCAGGAUAUGUAAGAGAAGAUACUGUUUAAUGUUUAUAUUCAAACUGGGUAGGCAAAAUUAAUACUUACUUGGAGCCACUAACUGAUCAUCUGUGUGUCGCUGAUUAUAAUCACCAAGAGUCUGGGAAAAAAGGAGGUAUCACUGGAGUGGUUAGGAAAGGCUUCACUGAGUAGAAGAAAGAAAUUUAAGAAUAUGAAUAGACAGAGGAAAAAGGAGGUAAGCUCCCUCCUAGGAGCAGGGAUCAGGAUAACAUUGACUUAAAAAGUAGAAAUAAGCAUGAUGAGUGUAAAGAAAUGGUGAGUAGGUUACUUUAGUUGUAAUGGAGGAUCUAUUCAGGGAAAUAUGGAAAAUAAAUUUGGAUAGAUAAAAUGUGGAAAGAUUCUG